rnacentral:lncRNA from 1 species
AUGAAUAUUCUCAUCCUAGCCUUCCAGUAUGAGUAGUCGGAUCCAUUGAAGAAAGGGGGUCUUUGGGUGGACUGACCCUCAAUGUGAGAAGAUCCAAAUGGGGUUGUCAUUUUGAUCUUUUAACUCUUGAGUGGAAGAGUUUUUGGCUCUGAUACCACUUGUUGCCCAGAUAGACAACCCAAGAGGGGGAGGUGAAUUGGGUUUUAAAUUAAUUUGGAUAAUUAAAACGUUAUGGAUGAUUAAUUAAAAACUAUUGCAAAUUAUUUAAUUAAUGCUAAGUGCUGUGAGUGAUGUGAGAGGAAGAAGAGAAGAGACAAUCCAAUGCAAACACAGAAUUUUAUAGUGGUUCGGAGCUACCCCUUGCUCCUACGUCCACUCCCCAAGUCUCUCUUGGGAAUUCACUAUAACCCCCUUGGAUUACAGCCGGUUGUUUUGCAAGCUCACAACC